GACGAACCGUGCGAACGUUGUUCGGAAUCACUGGGCUUAAAGGGCGCGUAGGCGGCUCGCGAGGUCGGGGGUGAAAUCCCGCAGCUUAACUGCGGAAGGGCCUUCGAUACCGGCGGGCUGGAGGAAGGUAGGGGUGCGCGGAACUUCUGGUGGAGCGGUGAAAUGCGUUGAUAUCAGAAGGAACGCCGGCGGCGAAAGCGGCGCACUGGACCUUUUCUGACGCUGAGGCGCGAAAGCUAGGGGAGCAAACGGG
rnacentral:rRNA from 1 species